AUGCCCUUUUCCUUCCUUUUUCUCUUUAUAUCUGGACAUGUUUCCCAAAGUUCCCAUGGAAAUUCCCUGAGCAGGCCACUUCCUGUUUUUGUUUUGUUUUCCUCCCCUACUGGUGUCCCCUUCGACCUUUUGUCCUUUGUCAUGGUCUGCCUCUCAAACUGGGAAACGAAUCCUCAGCCUCAAGCAGUUCACUGGCAACUGGAGUUCAACGGCUCUGCACACUCCCUGUGCUGUAAGAGGCUGUGCAAGUGGGCACAAGCAAGGUGCUUCCAGCUGGAAACAGCAACAGAAGCCAAGGAGAAAAAUCGGAUGACACCUGGCUCCACCGUUGUCUGCUGAGCCCGGCUCAGUGUUCCUUACACCUUACCUCGAGGAAAGGUCAACUGAAUUCAUACCCCAGGAAAAGCUGAAGUUUACUCUAUUCUCUAAAUUGUUUUCAAUUUCCCAUGGGGGAAAGAGUUUGAUUCAUUUUCUUAAUAAGCAAAGGUCUUAUUUUUCCACCUUCAGUCGUAUAAACGUCAAAGAAAAAAAGAAGCUUCAUGUUCAAUCAAAAAACAGUUCCAGCAUUUUUUAAAAAUGGAGAUAAAACAGAUGAUCCUCCAGGAAGAAAAAAGAAAUGACCUUAACUCCAAAACCAUAAUACCUUAAAUUAUCUAAUGCUUAACUCCCUCCACAAAGGCCCCAUGGGAGUGUUAAAGAAUAGUUAAAGCGAGGCCAGCUCUGUGGCCAAGUGGUUAAGUUCGUGCGUCCUGCUGCAGCGGCCCAGGGUUUCGCGGGUUCGGAUCCUGGGCAUGGACAUGGCACCGCUCAUCAGGCCACGCUGAGGCGACAUCCCAUAUACCACAAGUAGAGGGACCCGCAACUGAAAAUACACAACUAUGUACUGGGGGGCUUUGGGAGGAAAAGGAAAGAUAAAAUCUUUAAAAAAAAAAAAAAAAGACCAGUUAAAGCAUAGACUGUGCGGGAGCAACGGCCGAGGCGAUUCCACGGUUCUUGUGCCUGUAGACGAAUCAAACCACUGGACUAAGGAAGGCAAGGACGACGAGGGGACGCCUGUAAGUUGAGCCAUAAUACAAAGUUCGGAGUUCUGAUUGCACACUCAUGUUCACAGCAGAGUUAUUCACAUUAGCCAAGGGAUGGAAACAAUCCAAAUGUCCAUCAAUGGAUGAAUGGACAGACAAACUGUGGUAUAUCCAUAUGAUGGAAUAUUAUUCAGUCUUAAAAGGAAAAAUUAUGACACAUACUUCAGCGUGGAUGAAAGUUGAGGACAUUAUGAUAAGUGAAAUAAGCCAGUCACAAAAGGAUAAAUAUUGUUUGAUUCCACUCAUAUGAGGCACCUAGACGAGUGAAAUUAAGAGACAGAAAGGGUGGUUGCUAAGGGUUGAGGGAGUGUGGGGGAAAAUGGAAAGUUUAAUUUCUUUUUGUGUGUGUGUGAGGAAGAUUGGCCCUAAGCUAACAUCUGUUGCCUAUCCUCCUCUUCCUUCUUGAGGAAGACUGUCGCCGAGCCAAAAUCUGUGCCAAUCCUCGCCUACUUUAUGUGGGACACUGCCACAGUGUGGCCUGACGAGCAGUGCCAAGUCUGCACCAGAGAUCCAAACCUGUGAACCCCAGGCUGCCAAAGCGGAGCAAGUGAACCCAACCACUACGAUGCUGGGCCAGCCCCUUUAAUUUCUCUUUUUAAACUCUGUUUAAUGGGAAUCGAGUUUCAGCUGGGGAAGAUGAAAAAGUUCUGGAGAUGGCUGAUGAUGAUGGUUGCACAACAAUGUGGACGCACUUAAAGCCACUUAACUGUACACUUAGAAAUGGAUACAACAGUAACUUUUAUGUGAUGUGCAUUUUGCCACAACAAAAUUUUUUUUAAUUAAAAAUUUUAAAAAUUCAGAGUUCUGAAUAAAGAGCACUGAGUGACUAAA
rnacentral:lncRNA from 1 species